UGACUCCACGACAACGUCUAGGGCUUGAGUGU
rnacentral:piRNA from 1 species